AUUGAACGCUGGCGGCAUGCCUUACACAUGCAAGUCGAACGGCAGCACGGGUGCUUGCACCUGGUGGCGAGUGGCGAACGGGUGAGUAAUACAUCGGAACAUGUCCUGUAGUGGGGGAUAGCCCGGCGAAAGCCGGAUUAAUACCGCAUACGAUCCACGGAUGAAAGCGGGGGACCUUCGGGCCUCUCGCUAUAGGGUUGGCCGAUGGCUGAUUAGCUAGUUGGUGGGGUAAAGGCCUACCAAGGCGACGAUCAGUAGCUGGUCUGAGAGGACGACCAGCCACACUGGGACUGAGACACGGCCCAGACUCCUACGGGAGGCAGCAGUGGGGAAUUUUGGACAAUGGGCGAAAGCCUGAUCCAGCAAUGCCGCGUGUGUGAAGAAGGCCUUCGGGUUGUAAAGCACUUUUGUCCGGAAAGAAAUCCUUGACUCUAAUACAGUCGGGGGAUGACGGUACCGGAAGAAUAAGCACCGGCUAACUACGUG
rnacentral:rRNA from 1 species